AAAGUACACAUAAAAUCUUUCUCUCUCACUCAGUUUGUCACCGCUAUUGACCCUCCGACAUCACCCUCACUAUCAAUUUUCCUUCCUGGUCUUCUUUCCCAUCUUUGCUAUCGUACAACUAAAGGAACAGGUAGUUCGGGCCAGUCGGAUGAAGGCAAAGAGAAGAUUAAAUAAUUUUCAAGCCUUGUUAAGCUCCGUUCCAGCAUCACCUAUUUGGUCGGUCGCUGGUCGAGUAGGGGGUGUUACAAUUUAUGUGAAGCUGCAAAUGGUAGGAGGACCGAUGUCGGGGGAGCUUGUACUUUGUUACAAUUGUGGGUUUGGGAGAGAAUCCCAAAUAUUAGACCAAAGAUGCAGCUCUUGCAGUCACAUGGGGUGGUCCAGCGUCACAUGUAAAAGCACCUCAGCAUUGCAUUGAACAGUUCAGAGAGAUCAGUUCUCCAGAAUACACGCCAACCAAGUAGUUUAUGUAACUUAAAUUGAUUUUUGUUUUGACUGAAUUUGUUUUGACUAAAUUUGUUUCAUAUGUAGUUUAUUUGGAGGCCUUAUCUUAUGCGAAACUUGUCGGAUAUUUGUGUUAAGGGUCGUCCAAUAUGGAUGUCGAUAACAUCCCUUAUUUGCUUGAAUUUGGUUGAGCCACAUAUGCCACAACGAGUAUUACAACAAUUUGGGAUCGUCCAACCGUAUAUCUCAAUCCUUAACCGAUUCCACCCAGAAGAGUUUGUGAAACAGGAUCGUCGUAGUAAAUCUGAACGAAAUUGGGUUGCUUACUACCACAAUUAUAUACAUGAGUGGGACAAUAGGCACAACUUGGUAUGGACUGAUUUGGAUCAAUAACCCAGUUGCAACAAAUCAAUAUAUGAAUUGGUUUCGUAGAAUAACCGUGAUGUACAUAGCUCAACCUGGCAUGCAUGCUCAAGAGGGCUUCCAUGAAACGGUAUCUUCUCGUAGCUUCGAGGGGUAAACGCUUCAACAAAUACGUCACUUUCUAAGUGGGCGAGAUAUGACAUAUCAACCGGAUUUGGUUACAAUUUCGAAGAUGGUUGAAGACAAUUUGCAAGUAUAUGGAGAGGUUAGGAUGAUGGACUGUCGUCCUUCCCAGCGAUCUGGACUGGACAUUGUCAUGCUCGUGAGACAAAAAGGAAAACAACGUGGAAAGAAGAAAACUAGUUGUAGAGAUUCGUCAUCUUCAAGGAUGGAUGUUCAUUGGCAAGUGAUUCUGAUGAAGACUUUGUGUGUCCACCUCCACCUAGAUCUGCAGUUCGAGGUCGUCAAUCUGUCAGUCACACUGGUGGUACAGGUAAAGAUAUUUGCCCUAGUGAUGACUACCAUUCUCUUCCUCGGUCUUCUGGGCGAGAUGACUUUUUCGGUGUGGAUUUAGAGAAUGUUGUUGUGCAAGAUACUCCUCCCUGUAGACUCCCUUCUUCGGAAUUGACAAGGCGAUCCGGGGCCUGUUUAUGCGGAGAAGGCGAGAAGAUUGAACUAAACUAGAUAUAUUUUUAAUUUGGUUUCCAACUUUAUUUGGUUUCCUCAUCAACAAUGGCAUAUGCAACAGGCAAACAUUUCUUAUUAGCAUCAAAUCCAACGGCAAUAAGAAUUUUACCUUGA